GCUUGCGCCGCUUGCAGCACUUUCGACAAACGAGCCGUUCGUGCGCUUUCGCUGCUCUCGCUUGCUAACCACUUGUGAAGAAUGAUCAGCUCGAACGAAGAAGACGAAAUAGUUGGCAUUCAAGUCGCCGCUUCUUUAGCAACUUUUCAAGACGAGCAUCAGAAGGCUCGAAGGGAGACAGCCCGCCAACGCCGCUGGUUCUCUUGGCUGCAGGGGAGACGCGGCGCUCCUCAUUUUUCUAUUUUCUAUCUGGCUGGUUGCCUGAUUGUCGCCGAAGUAUGCCAGCCCAUUUUGGACGUCCUUGGGCCGAUUUACGUCGCUCGGCCAUCUACCGCGGAUGAAUGGCUAAAGGAAGCGAGGGACUUUGAGGACAAGUGGAACAUGCCACGUUGCCUGGGUGCGAUAGACGGAAAACACGAGAAUGUUGAGUGUCCGUCAGACUCUGGAAGCAGAGACCGAAACUACAAAAAUUCGUUCAGCAAGACGCUGCUCGCAUUGAAUGACGCCAACUACAGGGAGGCUGUUCAUGGCCAGGGUUCCGUGCAUUUUUGGCGUCUAUCAACAAAUCUGUGUGAGCGAAAUUUGUCAGCAUCAGCAGUGGCUCGUGCCACUGCUCGCUCAACCAUCGUCUUCUUGCACCGCUGGCUCCGUUGCCUCUCAUCAUGCCAGCGUUCCCCCUGCGAAGGCACUGACGGCA